rnacentral:rRNA from 1 species
GGUGAAAUCCCAGGGCUCAACCCUGGAACUGCCUCCAAAACUAUCAGUCUAGAGUUCGAGAGAGGUGAGUGGAAUUCCAAGUGUAGAGGUGAAAUUCGUAGAUAUUUGGAGGAACACCAGUGGCGAAGGCGGCUCACUGGCUCGAUACUGACGCUGAGGUACGAAAGUGUGGGGAGCAAACAGGAUUAGAUACCCUGGUAGUCCACACCGUAAACGAUGAAUGCCAGUCGUCGGGCAGUAUACUGUUCGGUGACACACCUAACGGAUUAAGCAUUCCGCCUGGGGAGUACGGCCGCAAGAUUAAAACUCAAAUGAAUUGACGG